UACGUAGGGUGCAAGCGUUGUCCGGAAUUAUUGGGCGUAAAGAGCUCGUAGGCGGUUUGUCGCGUCGAAUGUGAAAACCCGGGGCUCAACCCCGGGCCUGCAUUCGAUACGGGCAGACUAGAGUUCGGUAGGGGAGUCUGGAAUUCCUGGUGUAGCGGUGAAAUGCGCAGAUAUCAGGAGGAACACCGGUGGCGAAGGCGGGGACUCUGGGCCGAUACUGACGCUGAGGAGCGAAAGCGUGGGGAGCAAACAGGA
rnacentral:rRNA from 1 species